rnacentral:rRNA from 1 species
CCUACGGGUGGCUGCAGUGAGGAAUAUUGGUCAAUGGACGAGAGUCUGAACCAGCCAAGUAGCGUGAAGGAUGACUGCCCUACGGGUUGUAAACUUCUUUUAUAUGGGAAUAAAAUGUUCCACGUGUGGGAUUUUGUAUGUACUAUAUGAAUAAGGAUCGGCUAACUCCGUGCCAGCAGCCGCGGUAAUACGGAGGAUCCGAGCGUUAUCCGGAUUUAUUGGGUUUAAAGGGAGCGUAGGUGGAUUGUUAAGUCAGUUGUGAAAGUUUGCGGCUCAACCGUAAAAUUGCAGUUGAAACUGGCAGCCUUGAGUACAGUAGAGGUAGGCGGAAUUCGUGGUGUAGCGGUGAAAUGCUUAGAUAUCACGAAGAACUCCGAUUGCGAAGGCAGCCUACUAGACUGCAACUGACAUUGAGGCUCGAAAGUGUGGGUAUCAAACAGGAUUAGAUACCCGUGUAGUC